GGUGUGAAUACACAUCUCCAGCCCGGGUCUACUCCGUAAGUGGACAUCCAGCCCUUGCUUAAACACGUCCGCAGACGGGGAGCUCAGCACCUCUGGGAGCAGAGUAAAUAGUGGGGGUUGGGGGCGUGGGGGUGGAAUCGAGGGCACCAAAAAGCUACCUGUUCAGGGAUAAUGUCCCCUUUCCUUUCCCAACCCUCAGGCCACUGGCUUCUAAAAUCCCUAGUCCCAGGCUCUUUGUUGGGUCUCCUUCUCUUAUCACCUUAUCCCUGAGUAAUUUAUCAAAUUUUUGAGCAGAGCCCAGAUGAGAUCUUUCAUAAGUCUGGGGCGUGCCAAAAGCCUCUCUACCUCCCCCCUCCCCUGCUUGCCGGGAGGGGUGGUGGGGAGGGGGAGGGUUGAUUAGGAAUCAAAAGGACUGGGGCUACCUGAGUUCUCUGGUGGCUUUUCUGAAGUCAACCUUCUGGGCCUCGGUUUCCCUAUCUGUAAAGUGGCUAACGGCAUCUUUUAUCCUGCUUGCCACAUUCCGUUGUUGAGAACCUGUAAAUGAAAUGAUGUAUUCAUUUAUGUAACGAAUAUUUACUGAGUACCUACUGUAAGGUAGGCACUGUUCUAGAAACUAGGGAAGACAGAUAAGCAAUAAAUACUGCAUCUGAUGUCAGGUGGUGUGGUAAGUGCCAGGAAGGAAAAUACAAUAGAGUCAAGUGUGGGGAGGGGGGGGCAAUUUUAAUACAAUAGAGUCAAGUGGGGGGGCAAUUUUAAAUUGAGGGGUCAGAGAUGUGACAAAUGUGGAAGUCUGAGCAAAUCUUUUUCACUUACUGCAAUUUCCCCCUGUAGUCUGUCUCUCCGAGCCCUUUUCCUUGGCCAGCGGUUCCCAUCGUGAAAGUGGGAUAGACUUUCUGAGUGUUUUUUUCAGGUAGACACUGUUCUAUUAGUUUCUGUUAUGUGCAAUCAGAUGCAAUCUUAAUGGAUAUGAAUCAUGUGGGCUGGCUGGGAGGACAUGAUCAGAUUGACGCAGAGCUCUGUUUCCCUCUUUUGCCUGUGGGAGAACCACAAGCUAAGGCCAAUGAGGUCAUAAAUUCUCCUGAACAGGCCUCAACCCUCCAGGUCAGGCCCAUCUAAACAUCUCAACUCAAGAAAGUACUGUGUCUUACUGAAAGCACUCUGUCUGGAAAGCCCCAGAGUUCUAAGUAUGGCUCUUGAAAUCCCAGCAGUGCUUAUCAGGAAGGGAUUUCCCUUUAGUCACACACUCUGGCUAGCGACAUGCUCAGGUUCUCUACCUGUGGCCUGGGAUGGAGGGUAGAUAGAUUAUCAGGGAGCAGAUGGCUGGAGGUGGCUGGACAUGGUGUGUAAGUCUCCAGACAGAUUCUGAAGCAUCUGACAAAGCACUUUUCUCCCUACCAUCCCUUAUGAGGAUUAUGAUCUGAUCCUGUUUGAGGGAUGGGACCACUGAAGAUCAGAAGUGUCAAGGGAGCCCGAGGGGUCUGGGUCCUGGCUUUCAUCCAGGGCCCUUUCCAACCCUUGGAGCAGAUCAUCCCAACUCCAGCCUUGCACAAACUCUAAAGUGAUUUGCAAUAAAGAAUGUUAUGUUUUCCUGGCUGAAGAGUGAGUGAUUCACCAGCUUGGAUCUCGAUCAGCCACAAAAAGAGAAAAGGACCUUUGACAAAGCAGAAGAUCUGAUCUAGAGCCAACGGCAGGUCCCCAAAGAAAGAGCAGAAACAAAGGCUUUGUGGCUCAACCACAUCUUUAUUUUCAGCCUGAUGAAGUGCCUUUCUGAUCAUGUAAAUUCAUUCAGUUGACUUUGUAGGAAAUUGGACAUGCCCAGAUCAGAAUCCGGCUCCUCUUCUAAGGAAGUCAGUCUUGAUUAAUCUGCUUCUACUGUAUUAGUUAAGGUAACACUAGCUGUGGCACAUAAACUGGAAUCUCAGUGGUUGAACAUGGUAGACAUUUAACAUGCAAAGUUUGGUUGGUAGGGUGGGGAGGGGAUCCUCGCUCCACGAAGUCAUCUGGGGACUCAGGCUGAUGGAGGCACCACUAUUAUCUUCUUCAUGUGGUUGCCAUGGGGGCUUGACCUCCAGCCAGCAGGUGGGGGGGAGCAUAGAAGAUUGGCAGGGUGUUUUCAUGGGCUAGAGCAAGGGGGGGGCAUCCAUCAUUUCUGCCCACAUUCCAUUGUCAGAACUCAAGCAAGUAGCAUACAGAUAUGUUUCCUGCUCUUACUGAACGACUUUCCACCUUUAUUCAUUCCACUUCCAGCCUUCUUUAUCCUGCUCCGUGGCCAGGAGACGGACCUGUACGGAUUGCACCAACGGGCUCUUUGGUCUUCUGCUUGAGUUGGGUUUGGUCAAGGAAGUCACUGGCAGAAAAACCGGAGAGUGUGGCCAAGGUAUGUAUUUCCUGCGGUGUCUCUUUGACUGGGGACUUUCCCCCAGUCCCAACCAGGUCUAUAGGUUGGCCAUGUUCUUCUACUAAAGGCCACUUUUCUGUCACGGCCCUCUCCGUAUGGUCACUCCCUCCAAGUUGUGUUCCCAUUCCCUCCGCUUGCCCUUUUAGACUGAAGGGUGGUAACCACUGCCCACUGUUGGCAGCCCCAGGAAACUGCACCAUCAUUUGCUGCUCUCCCUACACCCUGCAUGCAUCCUUGUAAAUGGUCUCAUUAUUACAUUUUUCAUACUUGUCCGGUAUGAGUGUGCCUUCCGUUUCCUGCCGUGAUCCUGACCGCUGCAGGUGGGCACACAUAGAUGCAGAGGGGCUAGGGAAUGGAGUCCCAGCCUGGGUGCCUCUCCUCACAGUAUGGAAGGGACUCUCUGCUGGACACCUGUCUCUGCCCCAUCGACUCUGACCCCCGUGCUUUUUUGGCUUUUCUGCCUGGGCUAUUAGUGUGUGUGACCUUGGGUUAGGCCCCUCACCUGUAAAAUGAGUGGGCUGGCAGAAAAUCUAUUCAACUGACGUUUGGUAGCCUCUCUAACUGCAAAUGGUAUCUUGGUUGUCCUGAGCUACCUGGCUCCUUACCCAUGAACUCAAGUGCAGGUUUCUCUUGCUGGCUCCAAAAUAAAAGUAAUCUCAUGAAGUACCCCUUGCUACAUAUCUUCUAACUUCCUUCAUUGCGCCUCUCCCCACACCCCACCAAAUUCACCUCUUGAAGCCCUAAAUCCCAAUACCUUAGGAUGUGACUAUAUUUGGAAAUAGGGCCUUUAUAAAGAGGUAACUGAAGUAAAACGAGGCCGUUAAGGUGGACCCUAAUCCAAUCCGACUGGUGUCUUUACAAGAAGAGGAGAUUAUGGGGCGCCUGGGUGGCGCAGUCGGUUAAGCGUCCGACUUCAGCCAGGUCACGAUCUCGCGGUCCGUGAGUUCGAGCCCCGCGUCGGGCUCUGGGCUGAUGGCUCAGAGCCUGGAGCCUGUUUCGGAUUCUGUGUCUCCCUCUCUCUCUGCCCCUCCCCCGUUCAUGCUCUGUCUCUCUCUGUCCCAAAAAUAAAUAAACGUUGAAAAAAAAAAUUUAAAAAAAAAAAAAAAGAAGAGGAGAUUAGGACACACAGAGAGACACCAGGCGUGUGUGCACACGGAGGAAAGACCCUAUGAGGACACAGCAAGAAGACAGCCAUCUGUAAGCCAAGGAGAGAUGCCUUAGAAGAAACCAAGCCCUGCCUGCAGCUUAACCUUGGACUUCUGGCCUCCAGAACCAAAAGAAAGUAAAUCUGUGUUGCUUAAGCCUCCCAGUCUGUGGAACUUGGUUAUGGCAGCCCUGGAAAACUAAUACGUGUGCCACCUUGGGUCCUACCCUGUAAGCUUUUCUGUGUUAGGGCUCAGUUCUUUGAUAAAGUCACCUGAUGACGUUUCAGUGGAGGUAAGGGAGUUCCUCGAAUUUCCUUUCAUAUCGCAUCUCUACUUGAAGAAUGAAUCUUCAUAAGGUGAUGCCCAAAAGGGAUUGGCAAGAGGAAGAUGUGGGCGUCAGCCCAGUAUCCUUCUUGCCAUCCUCCUGCAACUGAUUUUGCCUCUGGGAGCAGCUUCUCUCCUACUCCAUCACAGCCUCCUGCCCCUGGCAUUGGGAAAAGCCUUCGCAACCCAAGCGGGGCCAUUGAGAAAAACUCAUUCCCCUGACCACAGUGAUCGUUCCAGAGAAGGCACGUGACCCAGGACAGGCCAAUCAGAGUCCUUCCCUGGCAUUUUUCUGACUAGAGCUGGCAGGGAAGUUACGGAGAAGCAGGGAGGUGAGGGGAAGUCAUGACAGGACUUGUUGUCCGUUUCCAGUCCUUGGGAGCCCUGAGCUGUCCCGAUCCCUGAAGAUCUUCCUUCAAUUCUUUGACAACCCCAAUAGCUUUCCAACGAAUCUCCUUUCACUUAAGUUGGUUUGAGUUGGGGUUUCUGUCUUACACAAUGAAGAAUGCUCUGACUCUUGUCAAAAAAUUGUUUGGCACACUUCGAGUUUGCUCCCAGGCCUGCCACUUCUGUCUGUCCUAGAAGGCGAGUUUCCUAUCACUAGAGGUUUUCAGACAGAGAGGGGGGUUGUCCUUUGUCUGGGAUGAAUCAGAGAACUGUUGCUUUGGCACUCGGGGCAGUUAACUGUGUGACAACAAAUAUUUUCAGGAAUAGUCACUGAUUCCAUUGUGUACAGUCUCCUCCUGUCAGGGAUUAGAGGCCUACUAUUUGAAUACAGCUCUACUUUUCUCUCAAACCCAUACACCAAGAGCUUAUGAACAUCAAUGUAAUAUACCAUACGAAUGCAGAGAAAGAUAAAACCCACAUCAUCAUCUCAACAGACACAGAAGAAUCAUUUGACAAAACACAACAUUCUUUCAUGAAAAACAUAUUCCUAUCUGGGAAUGGAAUUGAACUUCUUCAAUCUGGUAAAGGUCAUCUAUGAAAACUUUGCUGCUAUAUCACACUUAACAGUGAAAGAGUAGAUACUUUCCCCCUCAUGUCAGAGAUUCUAGCCAGGGAAAUUGAGCAAGAAAAAGGAAUAAAAGGCAUUCGGGUUGGAAAAGGAGAAGUAAAAUUAUGUCUGUUCGUAGAUGAUAUGAUAUCGGAUAUGAAAAGGGCAGAGGAAAAAAUCUAUUAGAACAAUUAAGUAAGUUGAACAAGGCUGCAGGAUACAAGAUCAACCUAUAAAAGUCAACUGUAUUUCUAUAUGCUAACACGAACAGUCUGAAAAUGAAAUUUAAAAACAAUUCUAUUUACAAUAGUAUCAAAAAGGAUAAAAUACUUACAAAGAAACUCAAAUAAAGAACAAGAAAUGUGCUCUCAAAACUAUACAUCAUUGCUAAAAGAAAUUAAAGAAGACCUAAAGACAUGGGCAGACAUCCCAUGUUCAUGGAUCAGAAGACUUAACAUUGUUAGGAUGGCAGUAUUCACAAAUUGACCUACAGAUCCCAUACAAUCCCUAUAAAAAUUCCAACUUUUUUUUUUUUUACAGAAAUGGAUAGGCUGAUACUAAUAUUUAUGUGGAACUGCAAGUGACCCUGAAUAGCCAGAACAAUAACCAAAGCAAUCUUGAAAAGAUAAACAAAGUUGGAGGACCCACGUUUCCCAGGAAACGGUGGGGUAUUGGCAUGAGGCUAGACAUGUACAUCAGUGAAAUAGGACUGAGAAUCCUGAAAUAAACCCAUACAUCGAUGGCAAUGGAAUUUGGUAAGGGUGUCAAGACUAUUCAAUGAGAAUAGUUUCUUCAACAAAUGGUGUUGAGACAACUGGGUAUCCAUAUGCAAAAGAGUGAAACUGUAACCUUACCUCACACCAAUAUACAAAAUUUAACUCAAUACAAAAUCCAACUUAAUACAAAAAUUAACUCAAAAUGAAUCAAAGACAUAUGUAUGAGAGCUAAAACUAUACGACCUUUAGAAGAAAACAUAGGAGUAAAUCUUGAUGACUUGCAUUGGGCAACAGUUUCUUAAAUGAUACCCCAAAAGCAUAGCAACAAAAGAAAACGUAAAUUGGAUUUCAUCAAAAUAAGAAGUUGGAAAGACAGAACGGAAAAUGGGAGAAAAUAUUACCAAGUCCUAUAUCUGACAAGUGACUUAUACCCAGGAAAUAUGAAGAACUCUUACAAACCAAUAGUAAACAUGCAAAUGACCCCACUAAAAACAGGCAAAGGACUUGAAGAGACAAUGAACAAUCACCAAAAAAGAUAUACAAAUGGUCAAAAAGCACAUGAAAAGAUGCUCAACAUCAGUGAUCAUUAGGGAAAUACAGACCAAAGCACAAUGGGAUACUACCUCAUACCUGCAAGGAUGGCACAAUGAAGAUGGUGAGGCACCUGUGUGGCUCAGUCAGUUAAGUGUCUGACUUCGGCUCAGGUCAUGAUCUUGCAGGUCAUGAGUUUGAGCCCCGCAUCAGGCUCUGCACUAACAGUGUGGAGACUGCUUGGGAUUUCCUCUCUCCCUCUUUCUCUGCCCCUCUCCUACUUGAACUCUCUCUCUCUCUCUCUCUCUCUCUCUCUCAAAUUAAAUAAAUAUAAACUUUAAAACAAAGAUGAAUGGUAACAAGCAUGUGGAGAAAUUGGAACCCUCCUACAUUGCUGGUGGGAAUGUAAAAUGGUCCAACUGCUAUAGAGGACAGUUUAGCAAUUUCUCAAAAAGGUAAAAUAGAUUUACCAUAUGUUCCAGCAAUUCCAUUCCUAAGUACAUACCCAAGAGAAUUGAAAAUAUAGGUCCACACAAAAAUCCAUACACAAAUGCCCAUUGUAGCAUGAUUCACAACAGCCAAAAAGUAAAAACAACCCGGAUGUCCAUCCACUGAUGAACACAAUAUGUGAUGAACACAAUAUGUGAUGAACACAAUAUGUGGGAAUCUGUACAAUGGAGUAUUAUUUGGCCAUAAAAAGGAAUAAAGUUCCGGUUGUGUGAUUCCAUUUACACGCAAUGUCCAGAUAGGCAAAUCGAUAGAAACAAACAGUAGAGGAGUGGUUUCCAGGGACUAUAGGGAUGAGGGAGGGAUGAGGGAGUCCUAGACAGCACUGCUCAUGGGAAUGAGAUUUCUUUUCAGAGCCAUGAAAAUGUUCUGGAAUCUGAUAGUGGUGAUUGAUACACAACUCUGGAUAUACUAAGAACUAUGGCAUGUGAAUUUUCUGGCAUGUGAAUUAGAUCUCAGUAAAGAUGUUCUUAAGGGGAAAAAAAGUGUUUGUGAGCAAACAGACGUCUGUGUGGAGCGACAGCUUCCCCAAAGACAGCGGCAGGUCAGAGGCACUUUGCCGGGCCCCUAAGAGUGGGACAGAGCCCAAGGAUUAAAAAACCAGGCUUGUCAUCCUGAUGGUUGUGGGCUUGAAUACUGUUUCUACUUCUUAGGAGUUGUAGAGUGUUGGGAAAUUGACUCAACCUCUCUGAGCCUCUCAUCUGUAACCUGAGAAUAAUUUCUACUUUGUAGGGUUCUUACGAGGAGUACCUGCUCCGUGGCUCAGAGUAUCCGAUAGAUGACGGCUAUUAUUAACAUUAUUUUCUCUUGGACAGAGAGGAAAGAGGUCUCUGGAAGGAAACUCUGGCCUUGGAUGAAAGGUGGAAAGAAGAGGCCCAGGUGAACUAAGGAGACAAAUCGAUUUUAGGCUGUAGGUUGAGCUAGAGGGUUAUGGAGGACCCCCUCCAGGAAGGGGGCCGGCGGGGGGUGAUUGGAGAGGGAAAGAGUACAGAUACUCAGCCUCCUGGUACCAUCACCAAGUGGGUUAGAACUAGGAGGCAGAUAGCGUAUUUUGUCACAUUCUAGUGCCACAACUUUUCUCCCUUACUCUUGGGAAGGGGCUAGGCGCGGCUCCGUAGUGUUGCGUUCGAUAGUAAGUGUGAGCCCCCAAACCAGCCCAGUGAUUCUGCAUACAGCAGCAACAGCCAGGCCCAUUGGGACUACAUCUCAGUGGGGCUGGAUGUUUGCUUCUCAUCAAUAUUUGAUCUCUGUGGAGUAACAGAUGAUUUUGAUUGUGUUCUUCGGCCUUUCCUGCACAUGUCAAAUUUUCUACGGGGACGAGGUCAUCUGACUAGAGUGUUGACUAGGAAAUCCAUACUAAGCAUGACUCAUGACAGCAUUGCCUUAUGUCCGUGCUUUUUUCUUUAUUUUUCCUCGUAUCUUGCCCGGCUCCGUGGAGAUAAGAAUUUGUGAGCUGUAUCAGUCAGGGUGCAGUUGGGGGAAAGAGAAGCUGUGCCAGCUGGUUGUAGAAGUAAAGGAAUUAGAGGCUUUUAAAGUCAUCAGAAGGGGUGGAGGAGUGGGUUCUGAGUUGUGGCCCCCAACAGUGAUCUGGAAUGCCACCAUGAUUCCUGUGACCUGGGCAUCAAGGGCUACCCUUGCUCCAUGAAGGGGUGCCCACAGGCUGGAAUGCUGAAGAACACAGUUUCUCUUGACCUUGCUUGUCCCUACAUCCCAUCUCACCUGCUCCUCCCAAAUCUUGGGCCACAGCAUCUAGUCGUCAGAGCCUAAUUCACAUCUGAAACUCUAGCAGCAAAGGAGGGUGGGAAGUGUACUUUUCAGCUUUUCAGCCUGUGAGGUAAAGGAAGGCAUGGACAUGAAUGGGGGCAACCCAUCAAGACCAGCCUCCUUAGAACCCUCUUGCACCGUUGUUGGGAAUGCAAACUGGUGCAGCCGCUCUGGAAAACAGCAUGGAGGUUCCUCAAAACAUUAAAAAUAGAACUACCCUACAGUCCAGCAAUUGCACUACUAAGGUAUUUACCCAAAGGGUACAAAAAUACAGAUUCCAAGGGACACAUGCUCCUGGAGGUUUAUAGCAGCACUAUUAACAAUAGCCAAACUAUGGAGAGAGCCCAGAUGUCCAUCGACUGAUGAAUGGAUAAAGAAGAUGUGGUAUAUAUACAAUGGAAUAUUGUUCAGCCAUCAAAAAGAAUGAAAUCUUGCCAUUUGCAACGACAUGGAGGGAGCUGGAGUGUAUUAGGCGAAGCAAAAUAAGUCAAUCAGAGAAAGAAUAAAUACCAUAUGAUUUCACUCAUGUGUGGAAUUUAAGAAACAAAACAGAUGGACAUAGGAGAAGGAAAAAAAGAGAGAGGGGGAAGCAAACUAUGAGAAUUCUUAAUUAUAGAGAACAAACUGAGGGUUGAUGGAGGGAGGUGGGUGGGGAUGGGCUAAAUGGGUGAUGGGCAUUAAAGAGGGCACUUAAGGGAUGAGCACCGGGUGUUGUAUGUAAGUGAUGAAUCGCUAAAUUCUACCCCUGAAACCAAUUCUACCAUAUAUGUUAACUAAGUAGAAUUUAAAUAAAAACUUGAAAAAAAAAAAAAGACCAGCCUCCUUAUAUCAAGAUUUUGACAUUUCCUUUGGCUCAAAACUCACUUGCACUGAACAACUGAUGUUCUCUCUCUUCUUUUUUUCUUGUGUAAAAUUUAUAUUUGCAGCGUGAAAUGACUUUUUCCUGUGUGUGGAGUCUUUAAAUUUACCUCUGAAGCCCUGUGAACACAAGCCCUUGAAACCAGGAGAAGUGGUUUCCUCUGAUGAGUCCUCGGAUGUGACUUCAAGUGCUCUGUGUUUGGCUGUUGCUGAAAUGAAUAGUCUCCUUUUCUACAGGAAGUGCGAAACUCCUGUGUGUUAUAGGAAGUAAGAGCUUCCACGUAUUCUCUUGAGGAUAAUGAGCACUUCCCGGAGGAAACAAUAUAACUUAAUAUGUUGAAUUUUUUUUUCAGUAAAGAACCAACAACCGCUCAACCACAAACUCAGCGGUAAGGAGCAUCUGAGAAGAUGCUUCGCUUCGUGAAUAAUUAAAAGCGAAUCAGAAACAAGAGUGGCUCAUCAUACCAACAACAAUGAACAGGCUCAAUAGUGUCUACUUGUGUCCGGUAUUUUUGCUGUAAGCAUCUUUGCGGCAAGAGUUUUCGCUGCAAACAUUUUUGUCACAUAACUAACUGGCCAUAAGGUGAUUUUGCCAUAGGAGAUGAAACAACUGGUUGGCGUUUGGUUUCAUUUCUCCAUUGACACAUUUCCUUUUUAAAAAAAAAAUUUUAAGCUUUAUUUACUUUUGAGAUUGAGAGAGAGAGAGAGACAGAAUGUGAGUGGGGGAGAAACGGAGACAGAGAGACACAUAUCCAAAACAGGCUCCAGGCUCUGAGCUGUCAGCACAGAGCCCCAUGCGGGGCUUGAACCCACAAACCGUGAGAUCAUGACCUGAGCCGAAGUCGGACACUUAGCCGACUGAGCCAGCCAGGCACCCCAGACACAUUUCCCAUUUAUAGGUUAUAUAAAACUUCGCUCGCUCUCAUAAUGGUCUACACAGUGUUGAGUAGAGAUGGUGGUCUUAAAAUAGUGGGUGAUAACAACUAUGUAUAGCUCUUUGAUAAAAAGUUCGGUGAGAAAGCUUACUGGCAAGUGUGAAAUAGCGUGUAAAGCAGACCGCACACUAUACUACACCAGAAACUGAUAACGUAUCAGUUACAGUGAUCACAAUGCUCAGUUAGAAAUGCUUUCCAGCACUGGCAUUUCUUCCACAUUUCUGUCGACAGACGUGUACCAAUAUGCCAAGAACGAAGAACAGUGUGGAAGGCUUUCACGACGCGACACAGAGCUCAGUUACAAAUAUGCAUCCUAGUAUUUGGAAACUGAUGCCUCUCUUAAUGAAAAUAAAUUUUAAUGCAAAAGAAACCCCCUGAUGCAGAAUGAGGACAUGAAUCAACAAGCAAAAAAAAAUGUCUUCCCGGAAACACCUCUUUACCCUUUCGGCCGUGGUCGCCGAGAGUGGCUGGGUCUCCACACCCACUCCCGCCGUGGACGUGGGUCGAGGCAGCUUCGCCAUAUUUGCCACCCACCCCCCCCAACUUGUCCGGAGUUUUGCCUUCCACAAUCCUGGUUAACCCCGGUUUCAUUUACCCUAGUCAACAGUGGCAGAAGCCGAUGAUUCUCCUUCCUACGUCAUUGGAAAGUCAAGAGUAGCCUCCUGUGGUGUCACAGCGCCUGUCAUUGUCCUCACUCGGUCUCCUCGCGUAGGCAUUUUAUCAUCUCACAUCAUCCCCAGAGGAAAGGUGAGCACAGCGUGGUAAGAUACAUUGAAAGAGAGAGACCCCAUUUACAUAACUUUUAUUACAAUAUAUUGUUGUGAUUGUUUUAUUAUGAGCCACCGUUGUUAAUCUCUUACUGCACCCAAUUGAUACAUGAAACUUUGUCAUAGGUGUGUAUGGAUAGGAAAAAAACAUCAUAUAUAUAGGGGUCUGUACUCUCCUAGGAUUCAGGCAUCCACUGGGGUCUUGAAACAUACGCCCCGUGGAUAAGGGGGGGACCCUGUGUUCCUGUGAAUGAGAGACUUUGAAGACAGGCACGUACUUACGUACAAUCCACAAAACAAAAUCUAUUAUUUAUGCAGGGUUGCUGUGAAUCUACACUAGGUAUCUCGAAUGUAUUAAAAAUAUUUUGUAUUUCACAAUAUAUUUAAUUCCAUUAUUCAUUUUCCGAGUUUCAUUGUUAUGCCUUUUAAUGAAUGUUCCUCUUUUAUUUUUUGGCAGCAGAUUGCCUUAUGGUGAUUCAAUUCAUUUUUUUCCUAUUUCAUUCUGUCUUUUUGAAUGUCCCUCUUUCAUUUUGAAUUAUUUUAUCUUUAUGGCAACAUUGCCUUCAGCCAAGUAGUUAUGCAGUGAAAAUGCUUGCGGUAGAGAUGUCUGUGGCAAAGACGUUUACAGUGAAGCUGCCUUGACCCACAUCCACGGCCACUGUCAACGACCGUGGAGAACCAGCCACUCUCAGCGACCACGGCUGGAAGGGUAAAGAGGUGCUUCUGAGAAAACACCUUUCAGAAAUGUUCUCACACACAAGCAAAAAUAUCUUUAUAGAAAUAGUCCCUGGAGCCCUGGGUUACAAUUACAAAAACUUGGGAAAAGCCCAAAUGACUAGCAGUAAGGUUUGGAUAAAUAAAUACAGAUGAAUACUAUUUUGUUCUGCGAGGUAGUUGAUAUAAAUUAUACCAAGGAAUCAGACUGGAAGCACGGGAUAUUCUCUAGACUUCGUGUCCUCCAAGAAGUCAUGAGGAUCUUCCUCACCUCUCAGUGCCCCCAGUGAGAAAGGAGAAGUUGAACUUGGAUGUCUUAAUUGUCAAAUACCUUGGGUUUAAAAGAGGGAAGGGUGUAGCCUUGGAGAGGGAAGCAGGGACCACCUGCCCGACAGCUGGUUUUGAUUCACCUCCUCACCCUCUCCCCACACCCCUGCCUGUCUAGGUUGGGGUGCAAGUGGGGCCUGUGAAUUUCACUCCAGCUCUUAGAAGGAGAAAGGUCAUUAGCGGAAGGCUGAGAAGCCAAUGUGGGUGAAAUGCAAUAUUCUUCUAAAUAUUCUAAAAUGCAUGGGAAAUACAGGGACAUUGUUGAACUCCUGUCCUGGGUAUUGACUGUCUCUUGGAGUUCUGAACCCUUUCACUCAUUCAGUUAAAAAAAAUUCUUUGGGGGCGCCUGGGGGGCUCAGUUGGUUGAGCGUCCAACUUCAGCUCAGGUCAUGAUCUCGCGGUCCGUGGGUUCAAGCCCCGCGUCGGGCUCUGUGCUGACGGCUCGGAGCCUGGAGCCUGUUUCAGAUUCUGUGUCUCCCUCUUUCUCUGAUCCUCCCCUGUUCAUGCUCUCUCUCUGUCUCAGAAAUAAAUAAAUGUUAAAAAAAAUUAAAAAAAAAUUCUUUGGAGCUUGGAAGGAAGAAGGGAUCUCCCCUACUCUUUGGGCCCAAACUCCCUUAAGAAACAAUUUAUUGUGGAAUCACCACCACCAGAGGAACAUAAACAAGAAAGGGCGAUUGGGGGGCGCCUGGGUGGCUCAGUCAGUUGAGCUUUGGACUCUUGAUUUUGGCUCAAGUCAUGAUCCCAGGGUCGUGGGAUUGAGCCCCCCGCCGGGCUCUGUGCUGAGCGUGAAGCCUGCUUAGGAUUCUCUCCCUCUGUCUCUCUUCCCCUCCCCCACUUGUGUGGAUGCUUACGUGCUCUCUCUCUCUCCCUCAAAAUAAAAUAAAAUAAAAUAAAAUAAAAUAAAAAUAAUAAAAGAAAGAAAGGACGAGUUGUGAAACAGUGUAUCCUAGAUGUUCCUAUCUGUGAAUGUAAUAAUAGCAUUAUGUGAUGCUAUGGUAUUUGCUAUUAAAAACGAUCCCAGAAGGGCUUAUUCAAAACAAUGGCUAUCUCUAAGGUGUGUGGGGGGGGUGUUACAUGGCCAGUGGCCUCCAGUGUAUUAAGUUACACACAGACACAUUUAUUCUCGUACAUUAUUCUUUGCUUUGCCCCCAGCAAAGUUGGCCCACAGGCUUCCCUGCCCGUCAGGGGGCUCUUGUUUUGAUAAGAUAAGACCUUCAAAGUCUGCCCUGGACUGCUUGGUUUCAGGUUCCCUGGUGGGAGUGAAGUGAUCUUCCUUAUUUUGCCAGUGUAAAAUCCUGCCUCUUCCCUGAAAUGUGGCUUAUUCCAGCUUGGGCCUAGUAUCCAAGAUCCUAAUAUCUGAUCAAAUUCCCCAGGGAAUUCCAAAGCAGUCAGAAACGACUGGCCCUCAAGUAUCACCUUGUGGACAACACCUGCAGGUGAAAACCUGGUCCUGCCUUGAACUUAGUGGGAAGGUCAGAGCUGACUAAGAACCUUGUCAUAAGGGCGGACAGACCUGUGAGUAAUGUCUUGCCUUGGCUUUGGUUUCUUUGGUACUGGUUUUACAUUUUUUAAAUUUCAACAUUAAUUAUUUUUCCUCGUAGUUCAUUGUAUUUGCUUAUUUUUUAGGGCCAUGAAGGGAACACUUUGAAAGCGGCAGGACAGUACUGUCAUUUGUCUGGCAUGCACCCUUCUGCAGGACCCUCAAGGUGAUCGACUCAGAGUGCUUCUGAGUGCUCCCUUCUAGCAGGAAGGGGAAUAUUCCAGUGGGUUCCUGACUCGGAGGAGAAGGGCAGAUGAACCCUGAGCCUGGAUGAGAGUUCCAGUGGGGGUUCCGGAACCUGGAGACCCAGAUCGCUGAACAGCUGGGUGUGAAAGAGAGUGUAUCUGUUUCCUGUAGCUACUGUGACAAACUACCACAGACUUGGGGGCUUCACACAGCAGAAACAUUCUUUUGUAAGAGGCCAGAGAUCCAAAAUCAAGGUUUCAGCAGGUCGGUUCCCCCUGGAGGCUCUGAGGGCAAUGGAUUCCACGCCUUUCUCCUAGAUUCUGGUGGUUGCCAGCAAGCCCUGGCAUUCCUCGCUUUGUACAUGCACAUGUACCUCCGUGACUCGCGAAUCUGUCUUUCUAAAGACAUCUGCCAUUGGACUCAGAGCCCCCUCUAAAUCCAGGAUGAUCUCAUCUUGAGGUUCUUGACAUAAUUACAUCUGUAAAGACUUUUUCCAAAUAAGGUCAUAUUCCCAUGUUUCAAGGGUUAGGCCUUGGCCAUAUCCUCUCGGGGGGUCAAUAUUCAACUCACUACAGAGAGGGACCCAGCGAGAGCGAGAGCGAGAACGAGAGGGAGAGAGAGACAGAGGGACGUUGCUUCUGCUCUCGUUGCCCUUCUGGCUACUGGGAUUGGUCAUGGCAUGCUGCAAAUCUCUCUCUAAUAAUUUGCAUGAUCUCAUAUUUGCAAAAGAGCUGCCAGCUCCUGGAGCCAAGGUGCAGCCUUUCAGCCAGUUCACACCUGGCUGGAAGGUGGGCAUAAUGGGGCCCUUUUGCAGAAGACACCAGGGCGCUUAAGAGAAGGGGAAGUAGAUGAGCACUUUGGGGCCGGUGGUCAGCUUCUGAGGAGCAAGGGCCUUCUCGAAACUCCUCCUCCCCUCUGCUUGUGGCCUCCUCGUGCUGGUGGGGAAUGCCCACCAAUGCUCUCAGAUGGGAAGGCUUGAGCUGGGUUUGUUCAGUGUCUGGAGACACCACGUGGCCUUCUCUUUGGGAGUAGGAUCAUGACAGAGAAGGUCUGGCCUGCAGACCCAGGGCAGCGUGUCUGAGGCCCUGGGUGGACAGGAAGGAAGUUUCCAUGGGGCACGGCAACCUGGAAGCUGUCGCUGAGUGAGAUACUCCAGGAAUCCCCCCCCAACACACUCUUUACCGAAGUGGGUCCCCAUUUCUAUAGUUUGCCUGGUGGGGGGACCAAGCCAGGAAAAUACUGUUAACUAAUUUUAAAAAAUGGAGCAUAUAGGGGAGCCUGGGUGGCUUCGGUUGGUUAAGUGUCUGACUUCGGUUCAGGUCAUGAUCUCACGGUUCGAGAAUUUGAG
rnacentral:lncRNA from 1 species